ensembl:lncRNA
UUCAUACUGAUGUUUUCUAAGUUAGUGACUAGAGCUUUUUAUUAAUUUAUUUGAAAUGCUUUAUGUGUUUAAUGUUUAAUGAGAUUUCAAGCAAUCACACCAGCCAGAUGAUAUUUUUCAGUUUGUCAUUACUUUAUCAAAGAAACACAGUCUUUGCUCUUUUGUAAAAACUUCUGCAUUCCCACAACCUUCAGGAUAAGAAAAAUGGAUUACGGGCCAGGCAAAAUUUGACCAUUAAGCGUCCUUCAAGGAAUCCACAAGAUGCUGCAAAGAGCAUAUCUUAAUGGUGUGAUGAGUCCUUAAACACUUUCUUCAGUUUCUUCUCUGACCUUUUCAGAUUGUGAUAAAUUCUGAUGGUUUAUAUAUAUUUUUUUACAAGGAGACAUUUCCAUCCGGAGAAAAAUAAGCAAGAAGGAAGAUAAUUGACUCGAAGAGGAAAUCUUUCAUCAAAACCUGCAAAUGUGUUGUGGCAAGGAUAACUCAGAUAAACUGACAUGCCACACAGAAGAGGUUAUAUGACAGCUUCCAAACGCAAAACAAAUGUCAAAAAUGGCUGAGCCAAAAUGUUAAAUUGACAAGGGAACGAUUUUGCUCUAUGCAUUUUAACCACGGGGAAAGCAAGUGCUUCAACAAUCACUGGUUGAUAACAUCAACUUAAACUAUUAAUUUUAAGCUACAAGAGUGGUAGGAGUUUCAACAGUUGAUGGCUAGGAAAUUUAUUACAAUUUUGCAGUGGGCAUGGAAGAUAUUGGGUAUAGGUGAAUCAGAGUAAUUUCAGGCUCAGGUUACUCUAAAAAUGCCUACCAUGUGACACUUAAUACAUCACGCCAAAUUCCUCUAACCCCGCACACAGAAACGAGCAUUGUUAACAGUCAGUGAAAAGUGAGCUUGCCUGGAUCCACAGAAAACUCAAAUCCUAUUCUAAGUCAGUGAUUCUUCUGAAGUGUGGUCCUUAGACCAGCAGUAGCAAUAUCAUCUGGGAACUUGUUAGAAGUUCCCAGAAUCACCUGGGAACUCAGGCUGCACCUGGGACUUUUCGAAUCAGAGAAUCUGGGGUGGGCGCAACAAUCACCUCCAGAUGAUUCUGGUGCGUGCUAGAGUUUGAGAACUACCAUCUUGGGAAUGUGAGAAGGAGCCAAACAGAAAGCAAGAAUACGAUUCAGCGUUUCCAACGGAGACUGUGUCUGGGACAACCAGUCAGAAAAUCAUCAAGAAUACAGAACUCAAGAACACCAUCAAAAGGAUCUAACCAACAUUUAUGGAAUAUUCCAUCCAACAGUAGAGGAAAGCACAUUCUUUCCAAGUGCCCACAGAAGAUACAUCAAGAGAGACCAUAUCCUGGGCCAUAAAACAAAUCAUAAAACUACUUAAAAGAAUUGAAAUCAUAUAUAGUGUGUCCACCAACUACAGUGUAAUUAAAUUCAAAAUCAAUCACAAAAAGAUAGAAAAUUUUUCUAAUAUGUACAGACUAAACAAUAUAUUUCCAUUCCUUGAGCUUAUGAAGAAAUCUCAGGGGAAAUAAAAAUACUUUGAACUAAAUGAAAAUGAAAAUAAAGCAUUUUGAAAUUUGUGGGGCACAACUAAAGUUUUACUGAGCACUAAAUGCAUACAUUAGAAAAGAGAAAACUCCCAAAUCAAGAGUCUUAGCUCCCACCUCAAGGACCUAGAAAAAGAAGAGCAAAAUAAAACUAAAGCAAGCAGAAGAAAGACUAUGAUAAAAAUAAGAGCAAAAAUCAAUGAAAUUGAAAACAGAGAAACCAUAGAGAAAAUCAAGAAAACAAAGAACUGGUUCUUAGAAAAGAUCAAUAAAAUUGACAAACCUCUAGAAGGACUGACAGGGAAAAAAAAUGAAGACACAAAAUCCAAUAUUGGGAGUGAAACAGGAGAUGUCACCAAAGACCCUGCAUACAUCAAAAGUUUAACAAAGGAAUGCUAUGAACAACAUUACACAUCUACAUACUUUAAUUUGACAAUCUAGAUGAAAUAGACUAAUUCCUCAAAAAUCACAAACUGCCACAAUUUACCCAAUAUGGAACGGAACGUUUGAAUAGCCCUAUGAUUAUUAUGAAAAUCGAAUUCAUUAUUUCAAAACUCACAAAAAAAGAAAAUAACAAAUGCAGAUGAUUUCAUUGGAGAACUUUACCAAAUGUUAAAAAAGAAUUAGUACUGAUUCUACACAAUCUUUUCUUGAAAAUAGAAGAGGAAACACUUCCUAAUGCAUUUUGUGAAGCUAGUGUUACCUCACUCCAGAACUACAUAAAGACAACACAAAGAAAGAAAAUCACAACAAAUAUUCCUUAUCAAUAUAGAUACAUGCCCAUCAAAAAAUGUUAACAAAUAGAAUUCAGCAACAUGUAAAAAGACUUAUACACUAUGAUCAAAUGGGAUUUAUUUCAGUCAUGCAAAUCUGGUGGAAUAUUAAAAAUCAGUCACUGUAAUUUGCCAUCAUAAGAUACUAUGGAACAAAAAUCAUGUGAAGAUGUCAAUUGACACAGAAAGAGCACUUGACAAAAGAUUCUCAAAAAAACCCCAAAAGAAACAGAGAAAAACUUCCUCAACUUGAUAAAGCACAUCUAAAAAAGCCCACAGUUAACACCGUACUUAAUUAUGAAUACUCAGUGGUUUUCCCCCAGGAUUGCGAAGAAGGCAAGGAUGUUCAUUCUCACCAUUCUUAUUCAGCAUGGUGCUGGAAAUUUUAGCUAGUGCAAUGAGGCAAGUAAUGGAAAGAAAAUCAUUCUGAUAGGAAAGGAAGAAACAAAACUAUCACCAUUUGCAGAUAACAUGGUUUUCUAUGUAGAAAAUACCAAGGAAUCAAUCAACAAACAAAAACUCCUAGAAUUAAUAAAUGACUUCAGGAAGAUCAUAGGAUUCAAGAUAAACAUGCAAAACCCCACUAUAUUUGUAUACACUAGCAAUAAACAGUAUACAAUGAAUUUAAAAAUACUAUGUCAUUCACAAUUACAAAAAGAAAUAUUUAGGUAUAUAAGGAACAAAAAUAUGUUCAAAACUUUAUGCUGAAAACUACACAAUGCUGAUGAAAGAAAUCAAAGAAGAUCAAAAUAAUUGAGGAGACAAACCAUCCUCAUGGAUUACAAGACUCAACAUAGUAAAGAUGUUAAUUCUCAAAUUUGUAUAUAGUUUUAAUGCAAUAACUAUCAAAAUCCUAGAAAGAUUUUUGUAGAUAAAGACAAAAUAUGUGCAAGAUCUCUACACUGAAAACCAUAAAACACUGCUGAGAACAAAUAAAGAAAACCUAAAUAAUGGAGAGACACGCUACGGUCUUGGAUGGAAGGCUUCAUCUUCUGUAGAUACCAAUUCUUCUCAGGUUGAUCUAUAGAUUCAACACAAUCCUCUUCUGCACUUCUAUCCUUGGCAUGAUCAGGGCAUUAAUGGUGAUUGUGGAUAUCUGUGUCUCAUUCCUGAUCUGAUAGAAAAUGUUCAUAAUAUUUCACCAUGAAGUAUGAUGUUUGAUGUAGACUUUAGUAAAUACAUUUAUCAGAUUGAAGACUUUCCCCUCUAUUCUAAGUUUUUAAAGAGUUCUUAUCAUAAAUGGAUGUAUACUGUUAUCAAAUGAUUUGUCUCUACUUAAUUGAGUAAUAAAAUUCUUUUUAUCCAUUAA